UACGUAGGGGGCGAGCGUUGUCCGGAAUUACUGGGCGUAAAGAGAGCGUAGGCGGCACUACAAGUCUCAUGUGAAAUACCCGGGCUUAACUUGGGGGUUGCAUGGGAAACUGUAGAGCUUGAGUACAGGAGAGGCAAGCGGAAUUCCUAGUGUAGCGGUGAAAUGCGUAGAUAUUAGGAGGAACACCAGUGGCGAAGGCGGCUUGCUGGACUGAAACUGACGCUGAGGCUCGAAAGCGUGGGGAGCAAACAGG
rnacentral:rRNA from 1 species